UCGCUUUAGGAACUGUGAGUGUGCACUUACAUUUAUUAUAUGUAGAACGCACAGCCUUAAUCUCUCCUAAUAAUCACUCUAGUUUAAUGAUUAUGCAUAUUGGAAGUUUCAUCUUUCAGACUCUAUGACGACUAUAACUAAAAUCAAUACUGCAUAAUCUUGUUUUUUGAUUAACGACCUGAGCUUAAUCACCACUUUCAAUUGGAAUCUUG
rnacentral:lncRNA from 1 species